rnacentral:rRNA from 1 species
GUACACUCCUACGGGAGGCAGCAGUGGGGAAUAUUGGACAAUGGGCGCAAGCCUGAUCCAGCCAUGCCGCGUGAGUGAUGAAGGCCCUAGGGUUGUAAAGCUCUUUCACCGGUGAAGAUAAUGACGGUAACCGGAGAAGAAGCCCCGGCUAACUUCGUGCCAGCAGCCGCGGUAAUACGAAGGGGGCUAGCGUUGUUCGGAUUUACUGGGCGUAAAGCGCACGUAGGCGGACUAUUAAGUCAGGGGUGAAAUCCCGGGGCUCAACCCCGGAAUUGCCUUUGAUACUGGUAGUCUUGAGUUCGAGAGAGGUGAGUGGAAUUCCGAGUGCAGAGGUGAAAUUCGUAGAUAUUCGGAGGAACACCAGUGGCGAAGGCGGCUCACUGGCUCGAUACUGACGCUGAGGUGCGAAAGCGUGGGGAGCAAACAGGAUUAGAAACCCCGGUAGUCCCAUGA